CCUACGGGUGGCUGCAGUCGAGGAUCUUCGGCAAUGGGCGCAAGCCUGACCGAGCGACGCCGCGUGUGGGAUGAAGGCCUUCGGGUUGUAAACCGCUGUCAGGGGGGAGGAAAUUCCCUGGGGUUCUCCCCAGGGAUUGACCUAUCCCCAGAGGAAGUACGGGCUAAGUUCGUGCCAGCAGCCGCGGUAAGACGAACCGUACGAACGUUAUUCGGAAUCAUUGGGCUUAAAGGGUGCGUAGGCUGUGCAGAAAGUUGGGUGUGAAAUCCCCUGGCUUAACCAGGGAAUUGCGCCCAAAACUACUGCGCUGGAGGAAGACAGAGGUAAGCGGAACUUCGGGUGGAGCGGUGAAAUGCGUUGAUAUCCGAAGGAACACCGGUGGCGAAAGCGGCUUACUGGGUCUUUUCUGACGCUGAGGCACGAAAGCUAGGGUAGCGAAC
rnacentral:rRNA from 1 species